AACGAACGCUGGCGGCAUGCCUAACACAUGCAAGUCGAACGAAGGCUUCGGCCUUAGUGGCGCACGGGUGCGUAACGCGUGGGAAUCUGCCCCUCGGUUCGGAAUAACAGUUAGAAAUGACUGCUAAUACCGGAUGAUGACUUCGGUCCAAAGAUUUAUCGCCGAGGGAUGAGCCCGCGUAAGAUUAGGUAGUUGGUGGGGUAAAGGCCUACCAAGCCGACGAUCUUUAGCUGGUCUGAGAGGAUGAUCAGCCACACUGGGACUGAGACACGGCCCAGACUCCUACGGGAGGCAGCAGUGGGGAAUAUUGGACAAUGGGCGAAGGCCUGAUCCAGCAAUGCCGCGUGAGUGAUGAAGGCCUUAGGGUUGUAAAGCUCUUUUACCAGGGACGAUAAUGACAGUACCUGGAGAAUAAGCUCCGGCUAACUCCGUGCCAGCCGCCGCAGUAA
rnacentral:rRNA from 1 species